CCGGCCUACACCAUUUAAGUCCUUAGCUAGACUCGCUGAAUAAAAUAUUCGACUCUGCUUCCCUUGACUCUCUGAAGUUUUCUCAUACAAUAUCACUUCAAUCCAUCUUCUAUUUCCAGGAAAAUGUCUUCAUACAAUCUGCUCUGCGGGGGUAGAAGCCGACUGCUGCCCCCAGCAGAAGGCCUCGCACCAGGGCCUUGAUUUAAUCACUGCCCAGCAAGGGGAGAGGCCAAGCAGGCAACAAAGCUGCCCUCCAGCCCUCCAUCCUCCUUCCAUCGAUGCUCCCUGUAGGUUGACCCGGGAGAGGCCAUCCCUCACCCCUCCACCCUCCACCCGGGUCGUUUGAAGAUGAGAGGAACUGCGUGUCAGGGGAGGGACGGCCAAGAGGAGGAGAGGUAGAUGAAACCCGGUUGUUCUCUUUGAACUGUUAAUCACUGUGUUUAAAGCUGACCUCGCUUCCUGUCUCUCGUUCUGUGUUCAGCUCAUUAAAAUAUGUAGCCUGAUAAA